UACGUAGGUGGCAAGCGUUGUCCGGAAUUAUUGGGCGUAAAGCGCGCGCAGGCGGUCCUUUAAGUCUGAUGUGAAAGCCCACGGCUCAACCGUGGAGGGUCAUUGGAAACUGGGGGACUUGAGUGCAGGAGAGAAGAGUGGAAUUCCACGUGUAGCGGUGAAAUGCGUAGAGAUGUGGAGGAACACCAGUGGCGAAGGCGAGUCCCUGGACAACUUCUGACGCUGAGGCACGAAAGCUAGGGGAGCAAACAGG
rnacentral:rRNA from 1 species